GCCUGGCCCUAAAUCUUGAUACUUACUCUACCGAAGUAUCCGCCAGAGAACUACGAGCACAAACGCUUAAAACUCUAAGGACUUGGCGGUGCCCUAAACCCACCUAGAGGAGCCUGUUCUGUAAUCGAUGAUCCACGAUCAACCCUACCGCCCCUUGCCAAACACAGCCUACAUACCGCCGUCGCCAGCCCACCUCGAAUGAGAGCACAACAGUGGGCGCAACAGCACCCCGCUAAUAAGACAGGUCAAGGUAUAGCCUAUGGGACGGGAGAAAUGGGCUACAUUCCCUAUACAUAGGGCAACACGAAAAGAAGUAUGAAACUACUUCUAGAAGGCGGAUUUAGCAGUAAAGCGGGAUAAUAAAGCCCGCUUUAAGCCGGCCCUAGGGCACGU
rnacentral:rRNA from 1 species